rnacentral:tRNA from 1 species
AGGAUAAUAGUUAAAUUUAUAUAACAUUUAAUUUGCUAUUAAAAAUCAUUUUUAAAAUUUAUCUUA